UCUUACCUGCAUUCUGCCAGAAGAUGGAGCUCUAGGAGCCAUUCUAGUUCAGUCUCAGUUCAGUUGUUUAAAACAGAGACAGACUUACAUUGAGUCACUUAUACUCUAGUAGAGAACUGUGAGUCUUGAGUCUCAAAGUCAUUGUCUCUUACUAGUGCAGAUGUUGCUCCUGGUAUUCAUUUUAUUUUCUCUGCUAAAAGAGAAUGCUGCUGCAGACGUGAUAACACCAUUAUUCACAGAAAAGCAUGUUUUGGAAGGAAAAGAUGUUACACUGAAAUGCAACUACACUGGCACUGUUAGAAAUUUGCAGUGGUACCGUCAGUAUCCCGGAUCCAAACCUGAACACCUAAUAUUGUUCACUGAGUCCAGCCCCAUACCAGAGCCCUCUCUCCGUCUGACCGCUGCAGCUGAUAAAGCCAUCAAACAUAUGAAUCUGACGAUCUCUUCUACAGAAGUGAAAGACUCUGCCAUGUACUACUGUGCCCUGCAGCCCACAGUGACAGGAAACACUACUGCACCCUACAAAAACUCAAUGAGAAAUUAUAUUCAAGGCAGAGGAUCAUGAUGCUCAAUUUUUAAAAAAGUUUCUAAAAUAUUUAAUAUGCUAUAUAAUGUUGCUUUUCUACCAUUUAAACAAAUGUUUGAACACCAUUUACUUGUUAAUUGUUGGCCAUUUAACCCUCUGGGCCUCUUGGGUCAGAAAUGACCUAAAAAUUUUACAAUUUGUAAUUUUUCUGCUUCAUCAUAAUGGGAUGACAAUUGGUGACUUUAGCUAUGUGAACACAAAAAAAAAAAAAAAAAAAAAAUCAUGGACAUGAUUCAGACAUGUUAAAGGGCCGAGAAAAAAAAGUCACACUGCUCCAUAUUACACAACACACUAUUAUACACACACAAGUGAACUGGUGUGGCUGUAACAAGUUAAAAUUGAGCCAAAAGACUCAAAGAAGAGGUUGAAAUCAGAUCAGACCCAGAAUGAUUAAGCUGUGAUAAAGCAUACCUGUUCAUUUUUGUUACAUUUUUAUUGAAUUUUCAUGUUAUGUGUAACAAAAUGUCCUCCACUAUUCUGGUUUGACUUUAGUAAAAUUAAUGCAAAAACUGACACUUCAAAUCAACAUUUCAAAAAAUAAAUAAAAAAAUCUAAACCUUAAAGUAGUCUUUGAGAAUGUCUAAGUAUAAAUCCAAAUCCACAAAAUAAGU